rnacentral:rRNA from 1 species
AUUGAACGCUGGCGGCAGGCCUAACACAUGCAAGUCGAACGAGUGGCGGACGGGUGAGUACUGUCUGGGAAACUGCCCGACGGAGGGGGAUAACUAGUGGAAAAGGUAGCUAAUACAGCAUACCAUCGGAUGUGCCCAGAUGGGAUUAGCUAGUAGGUGGGGUAACGGCUCACCUAGGCGACGAUCCCUAGCUGGUCUGAGAGGAUGACCAGCCACACUGGAACUGAGACACGGUACAUACUCCUACGGGAGGGAGCAGUGGGGAAUAUUGCACAAUGGGCGAAAGCCUGAUGCAGCCAUGCCGAGUGUAUGAAGAAGGCCUUCGGGUUGUAAAGUACUUUCAGCGAGGAGGCGUUACUCGCAGAAGAAGCACCGGCUAACUCCGUGCCAGCAGCCGCGGUAAUAC